CGUAGGCGGACUUUUAAGUUAGAGGUGAAAUCCCAGGGCUCAACCCUGGAACUGCCUUUAAUACUGGAAGUCUUGAGUUCGAGAGAGGUGAGUGGAAUUCCGAGUGUAGAGGUGAAAUUCGUAGAUAUUCGGAGGAACACCAGUGGCGAAGGCGGCUCACUGGCUCGAUACUGACGCUGAGGUGCGAAAGUGUGGGGAGCAAACA
rnacentral:rRNA from 1 species